CCUACGGGAGGCAGCAGUAAGGAAUAUUGGGCAAUGGAGGCAACUCUGACCCAGCCAUGCCGCGUGAAGGAUGAAGGCCCUAUGGGUUGUAAACUUCUUUUGUAUGGGAAUAAACGCAGUUACGUGUAACUGUUUGAAUGUACCAUAAGAAUAAGCACCGGCUAACUCCGUGCCAGCAGCCGCGGUAAUACGGAGGGUGCAAGCGUUAUCCGGAUUUAUUGGGUUUAAAGGGAGCGUAGGCGGGAUUGUAAGUCAGUGGUGAAAGCCCGUAGCUCAACUACGGAACUGCCAUUGAUACUGCAGACCUAGAGUACACUUGAAGUGGGCGGAAUGUGUCAUGUAGCGGUGAAAUGCUUAGAUAUGACACAGAACACCAAUUGCGAAGGCAGCUCACUAAAUUGUAACUGACGCUGAGGCUCGAUAGCGUGGGGGAUCAAACAGGAUUAGAUACCCUGGUAGUCCACGCCGUAAACGAUGAUUACUCGAUGUUGGCGAUACACUGUCAGCGUCUGAGCGAAAGCAUUAAGUAAUCCACCUGGGGAGUACGGUCGCGAAGACUGAAACUCAAAUGAAUUGACGG
rnacentral:rRNA from 1 species